rnacentral:lncRNA from 1 species
AGGAACCUCCAAUCUAUUCCAAAAUAGCCUGCAUAACAACCAGACCAUCCACCUCUCCUCACUCUUUGGCUAAAGCUUUGAACUCUAGUACCACCAAAGAUAGGAGAGCCACAUACUGCACCUGCAAAGGCCACACCGCCCCCUUCAGUCUGAAUUGGCGUCAACAUAAAAAGAGCCCUUUCCCCAACCUUACUUCUUCCAAUCCACCCAGACCAUCCCACUCAUACUAUUCAAUUCAUUUUUCAUUAUUUUACCCAUUCUAUGUGUAUAAUUC